CUGCAAUUGGGAAAAACAGUAAACGUCUCAUUGUUUUUAGCUACGCUUCAAGAAGAGUGCAUGUGGAUGAUCUAAUGCAUUUUACGAUCAUCGUACGUGUAUAAUCGGGUAUUAACGUGUGGGAUUUACUCCAAUGAAAACACACCUGCACUUGCGUAGGUGACUUCGCUACAGUCGUACGUGCGGAAUUCGGCUUGUGUUUAGCGGCAGGAUGGCCUACUGAGGAUGAGGAGGACGCCCAGGGCAAAGAGAAUCACAGCGAACACCAGUCCUCCAAUCCGAAGGCUUUCAUAGUCUACAAGGAAACCGAAAGAUAAUCUUUGCAUUACUGCUUGCGGACAGAGCUCCAGUUAACAUCUCCUAAGUCCUCCCCGAAGAAGAAGAAGAAGAAGGGAAAAUCCAAACUUACCCUGUCCAGUGGUUUCACCUAAAGAGAGGGACAGAGAUUGAAAGAGAGAAAGAGGGUUACAUCAGUCAGGCCACUGCGAUGAUUCUGAGAUGUCACUGUCUCAUGUCUGUUAUAUCCCGAUAACGCACAGCUUGUACAAAAUUGAUGAACUACAUAGGCUCCUCUGCACUGCACGAAGCCACUGGCACCUGUGACAGAAAUAUUGA